UUGCUCUUGCGGGGAGACUGCAGCUCAGCGUGGAAAGCCACCCUGGGGAACACGCAAAGCUGAUCAGUUCAAAUGGACGGUCCUCACCUGAGACCUUGAAAUCAAGCCUGCUGCUCAUCCCUGGCACGGAGCCGCUGACUUGGGCAGUCAGGCACUUUCCAGGCAGAACCCACACAAGCUGUGCCCGUCCGUGUGAGCCACCGGAACUAGCAUGAAAAGACACUUCCGGGACCAGCGCUCACUCUGCUAAUUUAUCGAUGACCCACUUUAUAUACUACCACUCCUGCCUUCCUAGGCCAAGUUUGCAUGCCAACAGGGACGAAACACAAAAGGGAUGGUUGUGAGUCACCAUGUGGCUGCUGGGAAUUGAACUCGGGACCUCUGGAAGAACAGUCAGUACUCUUAACCGCUCAGCCAUCUCUCCAGCCCCAAGCAAUGUUCUUUCAUUGCCCUCAUUUAUGUGUGUGGAGAGCAUACAGAGUGGCCAGUGUGUGGAGAUCAGAGGCCAGUUCUCUCCUCCCACCACGUGGACCCCAGGGUUGAAGUUGGGUUGUCAGGCUCAGUGACUGCCCUGUGCAGAAAGGGUUCAGUGAAAAAGGUAAGACACUGUAGCUGUCUUCAGACACACC
ensembl:lincRNA 2210420H20Rik RIKEN cDNA 2210420H20 gene